GGCAGCCAGGACACUCCUCGCAGAAGGGGGGCUGGUAGCCCCCUCGGCACUGGCAGCGGUUGCAGUGGCAGGAGCCACGCAGGCUGCAUUCAUUUUGCCGGCUGUUCCUACAGCCAUCAGUCGACUUCUUGCAUUGGCAGGCACUGCCCUCGUACUUGGGUGUGCACUUGCACUCACCACAGUCGCAUCGUCCACGCUCCUCGCCACC
rnacentral:lncRNA from 1 species